rnacentral:rRNA from 1 species
UACGAAGGGGGCUAGCGUUGCUCGGAAUCACUGGGCGUAAAGGGUGCGUAGGCGGGUCUUUUAAGUCAGGGGUGAAAUCCUGGAGCUCAACUCCAGAACUGCCUUUGAUACUGAAGAUCUUGAGUUCGGGAGAGGUGAGUGGAACUGCGAGUGUAGAGGUGAAAUUCGUAGAUAUUCGCAAGAACACCAGUGGCGAAGGCGGCUCACUGGCCCGAUACUGACGCUGAGGUGCGAAAGCG